AAGCACUGUCUUUGAACCUGUGACUUGCCCAGUAUGUGGGGUCACUGGCCAAGCAUCAGUGCCAGAGUAAGCAGCUGGUUAUAACUGGUGCUUCAUGGCCGCAUCCUGUGUUGCGCCUUUAAAACACAGCUACAUGA